UUUCGUUUUCUCUUUCUCAAGUGAAUAUUUCUGAAGCAGACUUUUGCGAUCUGACAUGGUUUUAACUCAACUACGGUAAAUAUUGCAUAGAAUCACACAUUAAAGGUUUGCAUAAAAGGCAACGUAGAGAAUAAAGAAAUCAAACCUUACAGGCGUCUGUGACGCUAGCUAGUGGUUGAAUAAUGUCAACUUAGACUACCCUCAUUCAAACGCUCAGCAAUAACAUUUUGCAGUUGAAUCAUCUUUUCCCUUGCCGAAUUUAGAGGAUCAAGCUCCGCAAGAUUAUGUAUCAUGAGAAGUGCUAAUUCAGAAACUUCUGUAUUGAGCAAAACUAGUAUGUGAGACCCAGGAAUGAAGAUUCCAACCAUCAAUAUCUUAGGCUGCUGAUCAGCAUCUUGACAUUAUGCAUCAGGCCGUUGAAUGCCAACAUAAAGCAAUAUUUCAAGAGAAGCAGGAAGCCAAUAGACUAGGGUGCCAAACAAUAUUUUCAUAUGGUUAAAAACAUGCCUUUGCUCUAGAUAAACAGAAGCAGAAAAUUUGCUUUGUGCACGGCUGAGAUUCUUCUGUGCGCAUUUCUUCCACUUUCACAAGAAGCUUCUGGUGUGUUGCUUCUGCUAUUAUCAGGUAAAUUAAACUGAGUUUCUGUAAAUAAUAUCAUGUUCAUUCAUCUUAUUAGUAAUUCCACUGUUAUAUUCAUGAGUCAAGGAUCAAGUCACAGGGCGAUGAACUACGAAGUCUUCUUCAGAACCUGUAGCCUUUCCCUUUUUUGCGGUUUCUCUCUCUUGAUGGACCUAUGGUGAUAG
rnacentral:misc_RNA from 1 species